rnacentral:rRNA from 1 species
AUACAGAGGGUGCGAGCGUUAAGCGGAAUUACUGGGCGUAAAGCGCGCGUAGGCGGCUUGGUCAGUCGGAUGUGAAAGCCCUGGGCUCAACCUGGGAGUUGCAUUCGAUACUGCCAAGCUAGAGUAUGCGAGAGGGAAGUGGAAUUUCCGGUGUAGCGGUGAAAUGCGUAGAUAUCGGAAAGAACACCAGUGGCGAAGGCGACUUCCUGGCCCAAUACUGACGCUGAGGUGCGAAAGCGUGGGGAGCGAACAGAAUUAGAAACCCUAGUAGUCC